rnacentral:lncRNA from 1 species
CAGACACGGGUUACUUGGAAGGUCAGGUCACACUCCUACCCCAGUGCUGGAACAAUGAAGGACAGUCAUCUGGAACCUGGAUGUGGCCCUCACCCCAAACCAAGUCCUUCUGGACCAGUGUCUUGACCGUUGGACUCCAGAAACCUGAGCAGAGUCUACAUGUAGCUCACAUCACUUGAACUAACAGGACAUGGAAUGGGC